ACCAGCAGCCAUCCUCCUCCGCGCUGCCGUGGUGUGAUGGUCAGCUAGUGCCCGCCCGUGUUUUGUUGAACUUUUGUGCAUUUCCGAGGAGAUCCGGUGCCCCUUGUGUAUCCAGACGAAAAGGCGCGCUGACCCAAUUGGUGGCCUCGAAUUGCUGGCGUGUUGGCAUCGGACUGCCGAGAAUACCAUGCCUCACCCCACACAGCGGUAGUCACUGAAAGCUCUUCUCUUCCUCGGGUGUGCUGGAGUGCCCAAGGAACACACCUGUUAUGUCACCUCGAGUCCUUGAGCAAACCUGGAACUUCCCUGGAAUGAGCACAUGCCUACAAGGACGAAGCACAGCGUUAACCCACUGUUGGCCACUUAAGAAGAGUAAAACUAUGUACUGUGUCUGAAGGGAUGGGUGGGUGAGGAGCCUUGUACUGUGCUCCCGUGUUUAAUUUAUUCUUGGCUCGGAGGCAGCGGUGGAAAGACUGUGGAGAGGAGCCUUCUGUGCUGCCCUUGUUGUCGUACUGUAUGGUAGACAAUCCCACAAACAGCUCCGUGGAGACAAGAGAGCAGAUGUUACGAACUAAGCCCAAACCUGCAGGCGACAUGAUCCCUUCACAAGCUUCCGGAAACUUGCCACCAACAAGAUGCUUAAAGUAGACGUCUGCCACACAACUUUGGAGGAUUCACACUCGCUGAAGGCGGAGGGAGGAACAAGGGCAGCACGGGGAGGUGAAAAUAUAAAAGCGGUUGUUAUUAGAAGCCCGAGCCAAGAAGGACGCCAUGUCAAGAGUCAGACGUGAGGAGUGUUGGGAAAACAUUCACCGUACACAUUGCAAUAGGCGGGACUUCCCAUGGCCGGGUCCUGAGUGACGGUUUUUGUAACUUUUUGGGGCUUUUGAUUCAGUCAGUCUUCAUCAGCAGUCCUCUGGGAGAAGUGAGCGUGUGCAUUAUUCAUAUUUCGUAUCUCUUCCCUCGCCGUGCCAAACAGUGAACAAAGCUUAUGACGCAUUCCGCCCCGCUGCCUAAAACUCCUGACGCUGCUGCUGCUGCUGCUGCUGCUGCUGCUGCCUUUUUGGGGGCGCGGAAUAAAAGUAUUUCUCUGAGGAAGGCCAGUUUCAACAUCGCUAUCCAAGAUUUGUUAUUAUUGUUGAUG